rnacentral:lncRNA from 1 species
GAAACAGAUCCCAGCUGUGGCCCUCUUCUCUGCCCUGCCCCAGCCUUGGCCCCUUGCCUUCUCUGGGCACUGCCAGUUCUCAGGAAAGGCGGUGCCUUCUGUGUGUCCAGAUCACUGGCUCCAUGGGGGUCAAGAAGCUGGGUGGCACCUGUGCUGCACACGGAUAUGCUUAAACAAUCUUGCAGCCUUGGGGGUGGGGCUGGAAACCAGGAUCGGCUUCCAUUGCAGGGGACUGGCAGUGCAUCGGGCCUAUGUGUGGCCGGGCUGGCUCUUCCAAUGGGCGUUAUGCACCUGGCACAGAGCAGCUGCUCAAUAAACCUGCAGAAUGAGAAUGAAUGUCUAUCGCUUGCACCAGACUGUAAGCUUUGUUAGAACAAAGAUUCUCUUCUGUUCAUCUUUUUAUUCUCAACAUCUUGCACAGAGCCUGCCAUAUGGCGGGGACAUGGAGGCCCACGGAGUACCUGGCAGGCCCACAGUCCACAGGUUGGAAAGAGGUGCCCAAGCCCUGGACUUUAAGCCUGGGCUCUGACCUUCAACGUUUGCUUUUCACACCACACAUCAUGUCAAUAAAUAGUUACUGGAUGCCUGUUGUGUGCCAGGCCCCAAGACGGGUGUUGCGUGACUGACAACAGAAAAAGCAUCUCAGUGGCGAGGGAUAAGCUAGAUCAUGGGCAUUAGUGUAAAUCUCCCAGGGUUCAAAUUCCAGCUUCUCCACUUCCUGGCUAUGAUUUUUUUUUUUUUUUAGACGGA